AGAGUUUGAUCAUGGCUCAGAACGAACGCUGGCGGCGUGGAUAAGACAUGCAAGUCGAACGAGACUUUUCGUUGUAGCAAUACGAUGGAAAGUUUAGUGGCGAACGGGUGCUUAACACGUGGGCAACCUGCCAUGAAGUGGGGGAUAGCUCGCCGAAAGGCGAAUUAAUACCGCAUGUGAUUAGAGAGGACAUCCUUUCGAAAUUAAAGUCGGGGCAACCUGACGCUUCUUGUGGGGCCCGCGGCCUAUCUGCUAGUUGGUGAGGUAACGGCUCACCAAGGCUUUGACGGGUAGCUGGUCUGAGAGGACGACCAGCCACACUGGGACUGAGACACGGCCCAGACACCUACGGGUGGCAGCAGUCGAGAAUUUUUGACAAUGGGGGAAACCCUGAUCGAGCGACGCCGCGUGGAGGAUGAAGGUCUUCGGAUUGUAAACUCCUGUCAUUGGGGAACAAGGUGCACAUGUUAACUGUAUGUGCAUUGAUAGUACCCGAAGAGGUAGAGACGGCUAACUCUGUGCCAGCAGCCGCGGUAAUAC
rnacentral:rRNA from 1 species